GAACUCAGAAGGCAGAUUCUGCUUUUAACAGCAGACGAGGAUGAAGAAUUUCCACAUGCCAAAGUUUCAAACUCCAUUGCUGCUGCCCCUCAACGAGUCCCGAGCAAAUUAUUAACAAGCUCUUCCUCUUGUGCAGUACUGCAACAUGAAGGUAAUAAUUGCUUGCCCUGGUGGGAAGGUGAGAAUACUAAUUCAGCGCCAACUUGGCUAGUGAACAUGCGGAGCAGAACUGGAUACGGAACGGGGAUGUUUAUCCCCCAAAAUCAAAUACUACAAUAUAGAAGAAGAUAUAGACCUAAAGGUACCUGCUUUCAUUUUCUAUUCAAUUAAUCAUGCUUGAAAGUUAAAUAGAUUUCAAGUGUUAAUUUCAUGUUUAUAGCGACAAAUUAAAGUUAACAUUGGUAAUUUGCAGAAAGGACAAACAAUGAGAAGAGUAGAAUGUACAGUAACAGGGCCAAAAAGAGAAAAUGAAAUGAAAUUAUGGGUACCUCAUGGAAGGGGAUAGUAUAGAGCUAGAUAAGUAAUCAAAUUGUUGAUGAUGAUUGGAUUGUAU
rnacentral:misc_RNA from 1 species